CGUAGGCAGCGAGCGUUGUUCGGAGUUACUGGGCGUAAAGGGUGCGUAGGCGGUUGUUUAAGUUUGGUGUGAAAUCUCCCGGCUCAACUGGGAGGGUGCGCCGAAUACUGAAUGACUAGAGUGCGGGAGAGGAUAGUGGAAUUCCUGGUGUAGCGGUGAAAUGCGUAGAUAUCAGGAGGAACACCGGUGGUGUAGACGGCUAUCUGGACCGUAACUGACGCUGAGGCACGAAAGCGUGGGUAGCAAACAGGAUUAGAUACCCUGGUAGUCCACGCCCUAAACGAUGCAUAUUUGGUGUGGGCAGUUCAGUCUGUCCGUGCCGGAGCUAACGCGUUAAAUAUGCCGCCUGGGGAGUACAGUCGCAAGGCUG
rnacentral:rRNA from 1 species